rnacentral:rRNA from 1 species
CCUACGGGUGGCAGCAGUGGGGAAUAUUGGGCAAUGGGCGCAAGCCUGACCCAGCAACGCCGCGUGAGGGAAGAAGGCUUUCGGGUUGUAAACUUCUUUUAAGGGGGACGAACAAAUGACGGUACCCCUUGAAUAAGCCACGGCUAACGACGUGCCAGCAGCCGCGGUAAUACGUAGGUGGCACGUGAUAUCCGGAUUUAUUGGGUGUAAAGGGCGUGUAGGCGGGAGCGCAAGUCAGAUGUGAAAACUCAGGGCUCAACCCUGAGCCUGCAUUUGAAACUGUGUUUCUGGAGUGCUGGAGAGGCAAGCGGAAUUCCGAGUGUAGCGGUGAAAUGCGUAGAUAUAAGGAGGAACACCAGUGGCGAAGGCGGAUUGCUGGACAGUAACUGACGCUGAGGCGCGAAAGCGUGGGGAGCAAACAGGAUUAGAUACCCGGGUAGUC